rnacentral:rRNA from 1 species
GAUGAACGCUGGCGGCGUGCCUAAUACAUGCAAGUCGAGCUAACAGACGAGGAGCUUGCUCCUCUGACGUUAGCGGCGGACGGGUGAGUAACACGUGGAUAACCUACCUAUAAGACUGGGAUAACUUCGGGAAACCGGAGCUAAUACCGGAUAAUAUAUUGAACCGCAUGGUUCAAUAGUGAAAGACGGUUUUGCUGUCACUUAUAGAUGGAUCCGCGCCGCAUUAGCUAGUUGGUAAGGUAACGGCUUACCAAGGCAACGAUGCGUAGCCGACCUGAGAGGGUGAUCGGCCACACUGGAACUGAGACACGGUCCAGACUCCUACGGGAGGCAGCAGUAGGGAAUCUUCCGCAAUGGGCGAAAGCCUGACGGAGCAACGCCGCGUGAGUGAUGAAGGUCUUCGGAUCGUAAAACUCUGUUAUUAGGGAAGAACAAAUGUGUAAGUAACUAUGCACGUCUUGACGGUACCUAAUCAGAAAGCCACGGCUAACUACGUG